rnacentral:rRNA from 1 species
UACAGAGACUGCAAGCGUUAUUCGGAUUCACUGGGCGUAAAGGGUGCGCAGGCGGUUGUGUGUGUCAGGUGUGAAAGCCCGGGGCUUAACCCCGGAAUUGCGCCUGAAACUACAUGACUAGAGCAUUGGAGAGGGUAGCGGAAUUCACGGUGUAGCAGUGAAAUGCGUAGAUAUCAGGAGGAACACCUGCGGUGUAGACGGCUGGCUGGACCACUACUGACGCUGAGGCACGAAAGCGUGGGGAGCAAACAGG